rnacentral:rRNA from 1 species
GAGCMGNAAGKGUGACGGAGCAAUGCCGCGUGCUCGAUGAAGGCCUUAGGGUCGUAAAGAGCUUUUAUAAGGGAAGAACAAAUGACGGUACCUUAUGAAUAAGGGGCUGCUAAUCACGUGCCAGCAGCAGCAGUAAUACGUGAGCCCCAAGCGUUAUCCGGAUUUAUUGGGCGUAAAGGGUCCGUAGGUGGUUUGGUAAGUCAUAUGUUAAAUCUUCAGGCUCAACCUGGAGGCUGCGUGUGAUACUGUCAGACUAGAGGGUGGGAGAGGUAGAUGGAAUUACUGGUGUAGCGGUAAAAUGCGUUAAUAUCAGUAAGAACACCAAAGGCGAAGGCAAUCUACUGGAACACUCCUGACACUGAGGGACGAAAGCGUGGGUAGCGAAUGGGAUUAGAUACCCCAGUAGUCCACGCCGUAAACGAUGGAUGCUAGGUUUUGGAAGUAUCGGCCCUUCCAGAGCCGCCGAACCAAGCUAACGCAUUAAGCAUCCCGCCUGUGGAGUACGAGCGCAAGCUUAAAACAUAAAGGAAUAGACSGGGACCCGCACAAGCGGUGGAGCGUGCGGUUUAAUUCCAUAUUAAGCGAGGAACCUUACCUGGGCUUAAAUCACAGCUGCAAGCCUCCCGAAAGGGAGGAAUUCUUCCAGAGUGCUGUGAAGGUGCUGCAUGGUUGUCUUCAGCUCGUGGCGUGAGCUGUUCCCUUAAGUGGGGUAACGAGCGCNACCCUUGUCCUGUGUUACAU